UACGUAGGGGGCAAGCGUUGUCCGGAAUCAUUGGGCGUAAAGCGCGUGUAGGCGGCUUGGUAAGUCUGCUCUGAAAGCCCGGGGCUCAACCCCGGGAGGCGGGUGGAUACUGUCAAGCUCGAGUCCGGAAGAGGAGUGUGGAAUUCCUGGUGUAGCGGUGAAAUGCGCAGAUAUCAGGAGGAACACCAAUGGCGAAGGCGGGUCUCUGGACAGUUCCUGACACUGAGGCACGAAGGCUAGGGGAGCGAACGGG
rnacentral:rRNA from 1 species